GAAAAACCUAUAGCUUCCAACUUAUCUUUUAUGCCGACAAAGGUUAAGAUCUUUUGCCUAUUUGCAGCAAAUAUUUCCUUAUUAGGACCGUAACUCCUACAUCUAGCUAACUGUUUUCUAAUACUAGUUGUACCAUUUUUAUCCGUGUCAGCCAUAUACGAUUUACUACAAUACUUGCACACUCCUUUAACUCUACCUCCC
rnacentral:lncRNA from 1 species